UACAGAGGUCUCAAGCGUUGUUCGGAUUCAUUGGGCGUAAAGGGUGUGUAGGUGGCGCCGUAAGUCGGGUGUGAAAUUUCGGAGCUUAACUCCGAAACUGCAUUCGAUACUGCGGUGCUUGAGGGCCAGAGAGGGACAUAGAAUUCCGGGUGGAGUGGUGAAAUGCGUAGAUAUCCGGAGGAAUACCAAAGGCGAAGGCAGUGUCCUGGCUGGCAUCUGACGCUGAGGCGCGAAAGCUAGGGGAGCGAACAGG
rnacentral:rRNA from 1 species